rnacentral:rRNA from 1 species
CAGCCGCCGCGGUAAUACGGAGGGGGCGAGCGUUGUUCGGAGUUACUGGGUGUAAAGCGCACGUAGGCGGUGCGGUAAGUCAGGGGUUAAAGGCUGCAGCUCAACUGCAGUAAGGCCUUUGAUACUAUCGUGCUAGAGUGUCAGAGAGGAUGGCGGAAUUCCCGGUGUAGCGGUGAAAUGCGUAGAUAUCGGGAGGAACGCCGGUGGCGAAGGCGGCUUCCUGGCCCGUUACUGACGCUGAGGCACGAAAGCCAGGGGAGCGAACCGGAUUAGAUACCCGGGUAGUCCGGGCUGUAAACCAUGGGCGCUAGGUGUGGGUGGUGGUGAGCCAUCUGUGCCGAAGCUAACGCGUUAAGCGCCCCGCCUGGGGAGUACGGUCGCAAGGCUGAAACUUAAAGGAAUUGGCGGG